UGCACAGGCAUAGCGCCUGUGCUUUUCGGUACCCUAAGGCGGUACCAGAAUAAGGGCUGGGCAAGACCGGUGCCAGCCGCCGCGGUAAUACCGGCAGCCCAAGUGAUGGUCGAUCUUAUUGGGCCUAAAGCGUCCGUAGCUGGCCACGCAAGUCCAUCGGGAAAUCCACCCGCCCAACGGGUGGCCGCCCGGUAGAAACUGCGUGGCUUGGGACCGGAAGGCGCGACGGGUACGUCCGGGGUAGGAGUGAAAUCCCGUAAUCCUGGACGGACCGCCGAUGGCGAAAGCACGUCGCGAGGACGGAUCCGACAGUGAGGGACGAAAGCCAGGGUCUCGAACCGGAUU
rnacentral:rRNA from 1 species